ACUUGACUUAUUGUCCUAUGUCCCCUAGAUGGGGCAGAGGGCGUCCACAGUGCGCCGCCAUCUGGAUCGUCUUCCCAAUAGCCUCUGCCUCUGCAAUAAUAGUCCGGCGCCAGGUCUGCCUUGGACGGCAACGUUUCCUCUUUCCUUGGGGAUUCCAGUCUAGGGCUUGCCUCGGUAUGUGGUCAGGAUCC